rnacentral:rRNA from 1 species
AAUGUUGGGUUAAGUCCCGCAACGAGCGCAACCCUUAUCCUUGUUUGCCAGCGAGUAAUGUCGGGAACUCCAGGGAGACUGCCGGUGAUAAACCGGAGGAAGGUGGGGACGACGUCAAGUCAUCAUGGCCCUUACGAGUAGGGCUACACACGUGCUACAAUGGCGCAUACAGAGGGCGGCCAACUUGCGAAAGUGAGCGAAUCCCAAAAAGUGCGUCGUAGUCCGGAUUGGAG